ensembl:lncRNA
AGAGAUCCAAGACCUGAAACACAAGGAGAGUGGAAAGAAAGCGUCGUGAAAUCUGGAGGGAACCUCCAGGUUUCCACGCCGGCUGUGACGGACACUUAGAAGCGGGUGAGAUAGAUAUCACAGUGCUGGAGCCCAGGAAGAGACCCAAGACCUGAAACACAAGGAGAGUGGAAAGAAAGCGUUGUGCAAUAUGGAGGGAACUUCCAGGUUUCCACGCUGGUUGUGACGGACACUUAGAAGCGGGUGAGAUGGAUAUCAGAGUGCAGGAGCCCAGGAACAGAUCCAAGACCUGAAACAUAAGUGGAGUGGAAAGAAAGCAUUGUGAACUCUGGAGGGAACGUCCAAGUUUCCACGCCGGCUGUGACGGACACUUAGAAGCGGGUGAGAUGGAUAUCAGUGUGCAGGAGCCCACAAAGAGGUCCAAGACCU